ACCUCAGUGCAGCUUUUGACUCUGUCGACCAUGACACAUUACUGAAUCGACUUGAGAGUUGGGUCGGACUCUCCGGUCCAGUGCUCAAUUGGUUUGAAUCUUACAUAAACAACAGGGAUUUCAUUGUUUCAAUUGGAAACUUCUUAUCAAAGAGGACAGAGGUCACAUGUGGGGUACCCCAAGGUUCACUCCUAGGACCCCUCUUAUUUGAAUAAGAGGGGCAUAUAAGUAUUGAUACUUAUAUGCUCCCACUAGCUCAGGUUAUAACAUGAAAUAAGAUCAGCUACCAUAACUAUGCAGAUGAUACACAGCUCUACAUCACGAUGUCACCUGGUGACUCUGAACCCCUCCAAUCACUGAAUAGAUGCUUAGAACAGAUAAAUGUGUGGAUGUGC